rnacentral:rRNA from 1 species
GCGUGAAUCUGCCGGGACCAUCCGGUAAGGCUAAAUACUCCCGAGAGACCGAUAGUGAACCAGUACUGUGAAGGAAAGGUGAAAAGCACUUCGAACAGAAGAGUGAAAUAGUUCCUGAAACCAUGUGCCUACAAGCGGUCGGAGCACCUUCUGGUGUGACGGCGUGCCUUUUGCAUAAUGAACCUACGAGUUACUUUUUCCGGCGAGGUUAAGGAUUUCAGAUCUGCAGCCGAAGCGAAAGCGAGUCUGAACAGGGCGUAUAGUCGGAAGGAGUAGACGCGAAACCAAGUGAUCUACCCUUGGGCAGGUUGAAGGAUGGGUAACACCAUCUGGAGGACCGAACCAAUAAGCGUUGAAAAGCUUCUGGAUGACCUGAGGGUGGGGGUGAAAGGCUAAUCAAACUUGGAGAUAGCUCGUACUCCCCGAAAUGCAUUUAGGUGCAGCCUUGACUUAUACUGGCAUGAGGUAGAGCGACUGAUAAGAUGCGAGGGCUUCACCGCCUAUCAAGUCUUGACAAACUCCGAAUGCGUGUCAGUUCUAUGUCAGGAGUGAGGGCAUGGGUGCUAAGGUCCAUGUCCUAAAGGAGAACAAUCCGGACCAACAGCUAAGGUCCCGAAAUGAAUACUAAGUUGAACUAACGAAGUCAGAUUGCUAAGACAGCUAGGAUGUUGGCUUGGAAGCAGCCAUUCAUUUAAAGAGUGCGUAACAGCUCACUAGUCGAGGAGUUUGGCGUGGAUAAUAAUCGGGCAUAAGUAUUCUACCGAAGCUUUGGGAUGAGAAAUCAUCGGUAGGGGAGCAUUCCACUCUGCGUCGAAGGUGAAGCGCGAGCUUUGCUGGAGCGUGUGGAAAAGCAAAUGUAGGUAUAAGUAACGAUAAAGGGGGUGGGAAACCCCCUCGCCGAAAGACUAAGGUUUCCUGAUCAACGCUAAUCGGAUCAGGGUAAGUCGGGUCCUAAGGCUCAGCCGAACGGCGAGGCCGAUGGCAGAACCGGUUAAUAUUCCGGUACUACCUGUGGGAGUGACGUGGAGACGGAGUCGUGACAGCGCCGCGGACUGACGGAAUAGUCCGUUGAAGGGUGUAGAUGCUGAUUGUUCCAGGCAAAUCCGGAGCAAGAGUCGAACCUGACAGUAUGGAGCGUUCUUAGAACAAUCCAAUAGUGCGUGUAAUCAUACUUCCAAGAAAAUCCGCUAAACUUAAUCCUGCAGGUACCCGUACCGCAAACGGACACACGUAGUCGGGUUGAAUAUACUAAGGCGCUUGAGUGAUUCACGGUUAAGGAACUAGGCAAACUGACCCUGUAACUUCGGGAUAAAGGGUCCUCGCUUUACGGCGAGGCGCAGAGAAUAGGUCCAGGCAACUGUUUAACAAAAACACAGGGCUGUGCAAAAUUGAAAGAUGAAGUAUACAGCCUGACACCUGCCCGGUGCUGGAAGGUUAAGAGGAGAUGUCAUCGCAAGAGAAGCAUUGAAUUGAAGCCCCAGUAAACGGCGGCCGUAACUAUAACGGUCCUAAGGUAGCGAAAUUCCUUGUCGGGUAAGUUCCGACCUGCACGAAUGGUGUAAUGAUCUGGACGCUGUCUCAACCGUGAGCUCAGUGAAAUUGUAGUAUCGGUGAAGAUGCCGAUUACCCGCGAUGGGACGAAAAGACCCCGUGAACCUUUACUAUAGCUUAACAUUGAAUUUGGGUAAUUGAUGUGUAGGAUAGGCCGGAGGCUUCGAAGCGGGCACGCCAGUGUCCGUGGAGCCGCUGUUGAAAUACGGCCCUUUGAUUAUUUGAGUUCUAACCCGUUGUUGCGGGGACACUGUUUGGUGGGUAGUUUGACUGGGGUGGUCGCCUCCAAAAGUGUAACGGAGGCUUCUAAAGGUGCCCUCACGACGAUUGGUAACCGUCGGCAGAGUGUAAUGGCAUAAGGGCGCUUGACUGGGAGACUUACAAGUCGAUCAGGUAGGAAACUAGAGCAUAGUGAUCCGGUGUUUCCGUAUGGAAGGGACAUCGCUCAAAGGAUAAAAGGUACUCCGGGGAUAACAGGCUGAUCCCUCCCAAGAGCUCAUAUCGACGGAGGGGUUUGGCACCUCGAUGUCGGCUCGUCACAUCCUGGGGCUGGAGAAGGUCCCAAG